AAGCCAUGCAUGUCUAAGUAUAAAUAAAUUUAUAUUGUGAAACUGCGAAUGGCUCAUUAAAUCAGUUAUGAUCUACGUGACAUAUUCUUUACUACUUGGAUAACCGUGGUAAUUCUAGAGCUAAUACAUGCAAAAAAGCCCUGACUCACGAAGGGGUGCACUUAUUAGAUAAAGCCAACGCGGGGUAAAACCUGUACUUCUUGGUGAUUCAUAAUAAUUAAGCGGAUCGCAUGGCCUUGUGCUAGCGACGGUCCACUCGAUUUUCUGCCCUAUCAUGGUUGAGAUUGUAAGAUAGAGGCUUACAAUGCCUA
rnacentral:rRNA from 1 species